rnacentral:lncRNA from 1 species
UUUCUUUCCCCACCAAGUAUGCUUUUCUUUCUGCACAAUGCUUAGAAUGUAGAGCUUAGAAUAUAAUUGCUGAAUGAAUGAAGGUUGUCAGUUUAAGUAAGAAGAGUCUAUCAGCUUAAACUGAAUGUAAGACAAACUUUUCCCUCAGAUUAUGGUGGUACAUGAUAGAACUAAGGGCAAACUUUUAGGAUCGUUUACCAUUUUAUAUCUAUGCCACUGAGUUGUUCCCCUUCUUGCUGCCUUUACUGUAAGCAAGCAAAGAACACUAUAACUAAACCCUUUCUGGCUACACUGUGUUAACUUUAUCUCUGAUAAUUCUUGUAGUUUAGUCAUUUUUUUUUUCCUUAGAAAAUCUGGCUUCUUGUCCACCUGAUCAAAUUAUAUCAAGUAACACUUUGUCUCCUGACCUGAUUUUCUGCCUUGUUACACAAUGAACCAAAGAAAGUUGGUUGAUUAUACAUUCCUGUUUGGAAUCCCUGAUAAUGUCAACCUUUCAGGUCUGGAAUGAAGGAACAAAAUGAUGAAGGUUGUGAAUGUUACUAUUCUUAGGGAAUAAGACCAUAAAUAAAGGCAGUUCUAAUGGCCUGGAACUCAAUCACAGCUCUCCAAAUAUUUAAAUUGUAUAGGUAUCUUUGUAUAAUACUAAAAAACUGUGGCCUGAUGGUGGA